CUGUAUCAGUCUGCUCUGACUCAUCUUCUGUUCUCGUGGCACCAAAGCUUGAGUCGGAUUCCAGAGAGGAGAGUCUGGUGCACUUUGCUUGGGUCCUGGGCCCACCCUUUGACUGGAGGACGGUGGGGCCACUUCCUCAGCUCCCUGGCCAUGACUACAGGAACAUGGACAACGCAAAAAAGAAGACCAACGGAACAAGGAAGGAGAACCGGGUGGUGUCCAUGGCAGGCAGGGCUGAGCAGGAGGGAGGUGCUGUGAGGCUGGGCUCAGAGACGGGUGAGUCACCGGCUCAGACUCCAGCAGAAGCCAGCGUGUCUCCUCCCCAGCCACUGUUCCCAGGAAGCAGCCUGGCCUCGCCAUUCUGUGUUCUACAGUCGAGGAUGCUUGUGGAGAGUGGAAGGAGGCAGAGGGGACCUCGGCUCCCACAGAGAACCGGUUGAGGUGCAGAAGAAUUUUUGGCUCAUCUGUUGAAUAAGACCUUGUAGCAGGUGCAUCAAGCCCUUGGACUUGGAUGGAAUGAUAAGCUCUUUGGGAUUCCCCUUGAGGCCAUCUAGUGGCUGUUGAGUAGAACUCUGAAUCAGGGAGAAUUCCUCCUUUAAUUCUGAAGAGUUCAUUCCAGGCCAGUCUUUCUCCUCUUGGCCUCUGCUGUCACUUCUUUGGCUGUCCUGGUUGUAUGGCCCUAGCCUUUUGUUUAAUCAGUACCCAUUGGGCAGCCUGCCUUAAGGACAUGUAGAAAAGCUUUCCAAAGGGUGUUCAGUGCCGUGGGUGAGAAAGAACAUCUCAGAUUUUACACAGUUUUUCAUUUUGCAAAGUAUUUCCACAGACAUAAUCUCAUUCAAUUUGAUAUCUUUA